rnacentral:rRNA from 1 species
ACUCGCUGUUCUGGCUUUUUUGUUAGAGCGGCUUAGCGAAAGCGUUAAGUGUCCCACCUGGGGAGUACGCCGGCAACGGUGAAACUCAAAGGAAUUGACGGGGGCCCGCACAAGCGGAGGAACAUGUGGUUUAAUUCGAUGAUACGCGAGGAACCUUACCCGGGCUUGAAAGUUAGUGACGGCGGAUGAAAGUCUGCUUCCCUUCGGGGCACGAAACUAGGUGCUGCAUGGUUGUCGUCAGCUCGUGCCGUGAGGUGUCGGCUUAAGUGCCAUAACGAGCGCAACCCUUGCCGUUAGUUGCCAGCGGGUAAUGCCGGGAACUCUAGCGGGACUGCUAC